rnacentral:rRNA from 1 species
ACGCUAGCUACAGGCUUAACACAUGCAAGUCGAGGGGCAGCAUGGUCUUAGCUUGCUAAGGCCGAUGGCGACCGGCGCACGGGUGAGUAACACGUAUCCAACCUGCCGUCUACUCUUGGACAGCCUUCUGAAAGGAAGAUUAAUACAAGAUGGCAUCAUGAGUCCGCAUGUUCACAUGAUUAAAGGUAUUCCGGUAGACGAUGGGGAUGCGUUCCAUUAGAUAGUAGGCGGGGUAACGGCCCACCUAGUCUUCGAUGGAUAGGGGUUCUGAGAGGAAGGUCCCCCACAUUGGAACUGAGACACGGUCCAAACUCCUACGGGAGGCAGCAGUGAGGAAUAUUGGUCAAUGGGCGCAGGCCUGAACCAGCCAAGUAGCGUGAAGGAUGACUGCCCUAUGGGUUGUAAACUUCUUUUAUAAAGGAAUAAAGUCGGGUAUGGAUACCCGUUUGCAUGUACUUUAUGAAUAAGGAUCGGCUAACUCCGUGCCAGCAGCCGCGGUAAUACGGAGGAUCCGAGCGUUAUCCGGAUUUAUUGGGUUUAAAGGGAGCGUAGAUGGAUGUUUAAGUCAGUUGUGAAAGUUUGCGGCUCAACCGUAAAAUUGCAGUUGAUACUGGAUAUCUUGAGUGCAGUUGAGGCAGGCGGAAUUCGUGGUGUAGCGGUGAAAUGCUUAGAUAUCACGAAGAACUCCGAUUGCGAAGGCAGCCUGCUAAGCUGCAACUGACAUUGAGGCUCGAAAGUGUGGGUAUCAAACAGGAUUAGAUACCCUGGUAGUCCACACGGUAAACGAUGAAUACUCGCUGUUUGCGAUAUACUGCAAGCGGCCAAGCGAAAGCGUUAAGUAUUCCACCUGGGGAGUACGCCGGCAACGGUGAAACUCAAAGGAAUUGACGGGGGCCCGCACAAGCGGAGGAACAUGUGGUUUAAUUCGAUGAUACGCGAGGAACCUUACCCGGGCUUAAAUUGCAGAUGAAUUACGGUGAAAGCCGUAAGCCGCAAGGCAUCUGUGAAGGUGCUGCAUGGUUGUCGUCAGCUCGUGCCGUGAGGUGUCGGCUUAAGUGCCAUAACGAGCGCAACCCUUGUUGUCAGUUACUAACAGGUUCCGCUGAGGACUCUGACAAGACUGCCAUCGUAAGAUGUGAGGAAGGUGGGGAUGACGUCAAAUCAGCACGGCCCUUACGUCCGGGGCUACACACGUGUUACAAUGGGGGGUACAGAGGGCCGCUACCACGCGAGUGGAUGCCAAUCCCAAAAACCUCUCUCAGUUCGGACUGGAGUCUGCAACCCGACUCCACGAAGCUGGAUUCGCUAGUAAUCGCGCAUCAGCCACGGCGCGGUGAAUACGUUCCCGGGCCUUGUACACACCGCCCGUCAAGCCAUGGGAGCCGGGGGUACCUGAAGUGCGUAACCGCGAGGAGCGCCCUAGGGUAAAACUGGUGACUGGGGCUAAG